UACGUAGGGCGCAAGCGUUGUCCGGAAUUAUUGGGCGUAAAGAGCUCGUAGGCGGUCUGUCGCGUCUGCCGUGAAAACCCGAGGCUUAACCUCGGGCUGGCGGUGGAUACGGGCAGACUAGAGGUAGGUAGGGGAGAAUGGAAUUCCCGGUGUAGCGGUGAAAUGCGCAGAUAUCGGGAGGAAUACCGGUGGUGUAGACGGCUCUCUGGACCGCAACUGACGCUGAGACACGAAAGCGUGGGGAGCAAACAGGG
rnacentral:rRNA from 1 species